rnacentral:rRNA from 1 species
GGCGAACGCUGGCGGCGUGCUUAACACAUGCAAGUCGAACGGAAAGGCCCUGCUUUUGUGGGGUGCUCGAGUGGCGAACGGGUGAGUAACACGUGAGUAACCUGCCCCUGACUUUGGGAUAACUUCAGGAAACUGGGGCUAAUACCGGAUAGGAGCUCCUGCUGCAUGGUGGGGGUUGGAAAGUUUCGGCGGUUGGGGAUGGACUCGCGGCUUAUCAGCUUGUUGGUGGGGUAGUGGCUUACCAAGGCUUUGACGGGUAGCCGGCCUGAGAGGGUGACCGGCCACAUUGGGACUGAGAUACGGCCCAGACUCCUACGGGAGGCAGCAGUGGGGAAUAUUGCACAAUGGGCGGAAGCCUGAUGCAGCAACGCCGCGUGCGGGAUGACGGCCUUCGGGUUGUAAACCGCUUUCGCCUGUGACGAAGCGUGAGUGACGGUAAUGGGUAAAGAAGCACCGGCUAACUACGUG